rnacentral:rRNA from 1 species
AGCCUGAACGCUGGCGGCGUGGCUAAGACAUGCAAGUCGUACGGGCGUAGCAAUACGUCAGUGGCGAACGGGUGAGUAAAGUAUCGCUAACGUACCCCUCAGUCUGGGAUAGCCGGGGGAAACUCCGGGUAAUACCAGGUGACAUUCUCUGCCUGCAUGGGCGGAGACUCAAAGGGAAACCGUUGAGGGAGCGGGCGAUAUCGUAUCAGCUAGUUGGUGAGGUAACGGCUCACCAAGGCGACGACGCGUAGCCGGGCUGAGAGGUCGGCCGGCCACAUUGGGACUGAGACACUGCCCAGACUCCUACGGGGGGCUGCAGUAACGAAUCUUCCGCAAUGCACGCAAGUGUGACGGAGCGACGCCGCGUGUGGGACGAAGUCCUUCGGGAUGUAAACCACUGUCAGGGGUAAGAAGUUCUGAUCUACCCAGAGGAAGGCACGGCUAACUCUGCGCCAGCAGCCGC